GACGAACGCUGGCGGCGUGCGUAACACAUGCAAGUCGAACGAAGUGGCGAACGGGUGAGUAACGCGUAAUCAACCUGCCCUUCAGAGGGGGACAACAGUGGGAAACGACUGCUAAUACCGCAUACUGAAGGAGGGGAUGGCGGCUGAGUAGGUAGAUGGAGGGGUAACGGCCCACCAAGGCGAUGAGCAGUAGCGAGUAUGAGCAGAGGAACGGCCACAGUGGGGCUGAGACACGGCCCAGACUGCUACGGGAGGCAGCAGUGAGGAAUAUUCCGCAAUGGACUAAAGUCUGACGGAGCAACGCCGAGUGCAUGAUGACGGCCUUCGGGUUGUAAAGCUCUGUUAAUCGGGACGCGGUACCGGAAUAGAAGGCCACGGCUAACUACAUGCCAGCAGCCGCGGUAAUUC
rnacentral:rRNA from 1 species